GGAAUCUUCGGCAAUGGGGGCAACCCUGACCGAGCAACGCCGCGUGAGUGAAGAAGGUUUUCGGAUCGUAAAGCUCUGUUGUAAGAGAAGAACGUGUGUGAGAGUGGAAAGUUCACACAGUGACGGUAACUUACCAGAAAGGGACGGCUAACUACGUGCCAGCAGCCGCGGUAAUACGUAGGUGGCAAGCGUUGUCCGGAUUUAUUGGGCGUAAAGCGAGCGCAGGCGGUUUUUUAAGUCUGAUGUGAAAGCCUUCGGCUCAACCGAAGAAGUGCAUCGGAAACUGGGAAACUUGAGUGCAGAAGGGGAGAGUGGAAUUCCAUGUGUAGCGGUGAAAUGCGUAGAUAUAUGGAGGAACACCGGUGGCGAAAGCGGCUCUCUGGUCUGUAACUGACGCUGAGGCUCGAAAGCGUGGGGAGCAAACA
rnacentral:rRNA from 1 species